GCCGAUGAUGGUCAGGUUUUUCUUUGGAAGUCAUCUUUGAAAUGCUCCUAUUUUUCCAUAGUGUAUUGGUCUUUCUCAAUGCUGUUUGUUAGCACCAAUCAUCAGACUGGAGUCCCUUGCUUGCCGCCAUGGUUUGCCCUUCCAACCAUGGGUGCUGCUAGUUGGGGGACCUCUCUUGUUUUGAGAAUAGGGGGAUAAAAAGGUCUCCUAUUCUAUUAAAGAAGAGAGGAAGAAUGAAGAAAAAAAGAAAAAGGGAAAAAGAAAAAAAAAGAGAAAAAAAAAGAGAAAGAAAAAGAAAGAAAAAGAGAAGAG
rnacentral:lncRNA from 1 species